GUGGUGAAGUGGUUCUUCAAUGGCAAUUGUUGAUUCUUGAGGAUCCAAGCAUCGUCGAGCUAAACGAACCAUUCCACGCAUCUCCUACGCCAAUAUUCUGCACCUGUUUCUGCGAUUUGAGGCUCGAUACGCGAGGAUUACCGCCACUGUCAUCAAGAAGGUUAAAUUCCGAUCGUCACCAUUUUUCAAAUUGUGUUGUGGUUAUGGUAGAGCGUAACUUGUAGAUCAUGCAGAACCUUAGAUAUUGAAUUUCCAUGAUGAAUUGAGCGAGUUAUCGCGAUUUGAAAUUUCGUUGUAAAACCUAUUUUGACUCGAUCUGUAAUAUACAGUAGGAAUUAAACGUUUUCGUCCUCAUAUUGUUGAUCCUCAUUGCGAGACGAUUCCAUCCGUAUAUCG
rnacentral:lncRNA from 1 species